rnacentral:rRNA from 1 species
CUAUGCGCCUUGCCAGCCCGCCUCAGAAACUCAAAUGAAUUGACGGGGCCCGCACAAGCGGAGGAACAUGUGGUUUAAUUCGAUGAUACGCGAGGAACCUUACCUGGGCUUAAAUGGGGAGUGACAGCUGUCGAAAGAUGGUUUUCUUCGGACACUCUUCAAGGUGCUGCAUGGUUGUCGUCAGCUCGUGCCGUGAGGUGUCGGGUUAAGUCCCAUAACGAGCGCAACCCUUACCGUUAGUUACCAUCAGGUUAAGCUGGGGACUCUAGCGGGACUGCCACCGUAAGGUGAGAGGAAGGUGGGGAUGACGUCAAAUCAGCACGGCCCUUAUGUCCAGGGCUACACACGUGUUACAAUGGCCAGUACAAAGGGCAGCUACCGGGUGACCGGAUGCUAAUCUCUAAAGCUGGUCUCAGUUCGGAUCGAAGUCUGCAACCCGACUUCGUGAAGCUGGAUUCGCUAGUAAUCGCGCAUCAGCCAUGGCGCGGUGAAUACGUUCCCGGGCCUU